rnacentral:lncRNA from 10 species
GCCAUCUCAAACAUAAAUAAAUUAAUAAAUUAAAAAUUCAGGUUUAGGAACCUCUGCCUGGAUUUCAGAGGAUGUAUAGGAACUACUGGAUGUCCAGGCAGAAGUGUGCUGCAGGGGUAGAGUCUUCACAGAGAACCUCUGCUAGGGCAAUACGGAAGGGAAAUGUGGGGUUGGAUCCCUCCACAGGGUCCCUACUAGGGCACUGCCUAGUGGAGCUGUGAGAAAAGGGCCACCAUCCUCCAGACCCCAGAAUGGUAGAUCCACCGACAACAGCUUGCACCAUGGACCUGGAAAAGCCACAGACACUUGUCACAAGCCUGUGAAAGCAGCUGGGAGGGGGGCUGUACCCUGCAUAGCCACAGGGGUGGAGCUGCCCAAGGCCUUGGGAACCCAGCUCUUGCAUCAGUGUGAUCUGGAUGUGAGACAUGGAGUCAAAGGAGAUCAUUUUGGAGCUUUAAGAUUUGACUGCCCUGUUGGAUUUCAGAUUUGCCUGGGGCCUGUAGCCCCUUUGUUUUGGCCAAUUUCUCCCAUUUGGAAUAGGUGUAUUUACCCAAUGCCUGUACCCCCACUGUAUCUAGGAAGUAACUCACUUGGCUUUUGAUUUUACAGGCUUAUAGGCAGAAGGGACUUGCUUUGUCUCAGAUGAGACUCUGGACUUGGACUUUUGGGUUAAUGCUGGAAUGAGUUAAGACUUUGGGGGAUGGCUGGAAGGGCAUGAUUGUGUUUUGAAUUGUGAGGACAUGCGGUUUAGGAGGGGCCAGAGGUGGAAUGAUAUGGUUGGGCUGUGUCCCCACCCAAAUCUUAUCUUGAAUUGUAGUUCCCAUAAUCCCCACAUGUUGUGCACGGGACCCAGUGGAAUGGCCGAAUCAUGGGCGUGGUUCCUGCCAUCCUGUUCUCUUGAAAAGGGAACCAUCGUCACCCACCAUGAAUUACGCUGCCAGCUGUGUUUCUCACGGAUGCUAUGGGAGGCAGAAUAGUGCUCACCGCAAAGAUGGCCACAUUCUAACCCCUGGGCCCUGGGAUGAUGUGAGGCCACACCAACAAGAGGCGGUGCCAAUUUCAGGGUCUCCCUGUUCCCCAAGCCAGAAUGCAGUGGCACAAGCAAUGCUCACUGCAGCCUUGGACUCCCGGGCUCAAGCGAUCCUCCUGCCUCAGCCUCCUGAGUAGCUAGGACUACAGCUGCACACCACCCUGCCCAGGUAACUUUUUAAAAAGAUUAUUAUUAAAUUUCAUAUUUUUUUUUUUUUGAGACAGAGUCUUGCUCUGUCUCCCAGGCUGGAGUGCAGUGGCGCUAUCUCGGCUCACUGCAAGCCCCGCCUCCUGGGUUCACACCAUUCUCCUGCCUUAGCCUCCCGAGUAGCCGGGACUACAGGUGUCUGCCACCACACCUGGCUAAUUUUUUGUAUUUUUAGUAGAGACGGGGUUUCACCAUGUUAGCCAGGAUGGACUCGAUCUCCUGACCUCGUGAUCCACCCGCCUCGGCCUCCCAAAGUGCUGGGAUCACAGGCUUAGCCACCACGCCCAGCCCUAAAUUUCAGAUUAGCCUUAGGGGUUGCCUUUGUCCUGCCCUUCCCUCAUAGACCCUCUGCCACCAGCCACACCCAGAGCCGGGGCAGGACAUGUGGCCACCUACCCAGCCCUCCCGGGGUCACAGGCCGAGAGCACUCCCCAGCUGGCUGCUUCCCCAGAGGGCGGUUUGUGCUUUCUCAAGCAGAGGCAGGUGGGUGCUGCCGAGUAGGAGCACUGCCUGGAGGUCGCGCGAUCUGGCCGCCUCCAGGAAGAAGACGCGGCCACCUCUCCCUGCCGGGGGCCUGAGCAGAUCAGACCACAAGCACAGGCUGCAAAGGUACCGACCGCAGCAGUGGGCCUGACAGUCCCA